GCGCGCAAGCGGCCGUGGGAAACCAGCCCCGAGGAGAGCACGGAUGUGGGAGCUUUUUUCCAGGAGUUUCCUGUGACCCUGGACGGCCAGGCGCCCACCAAGAAGCAGAGGCGGGACAAUAGCUUCGCCGCGGACAGGGCGCUGUAUGACUCGUGAAGGACGCACCAGCGAAAGCUCCGGCGCACACAUCUACUCGCCUACUGGACCUGAAAGAAGCCCUCCGUUGUGACGGUCCAGGGCUACAUCAGGAGGUCUGGCUGGAGGUCCAACUGCGUCUCUGCUCGGGAGGUUGUGGAGGGUUGGACUCUGCCACCCAAAGUGGGUCUGACCAAUGACCCGGACCUGAUCGGGCACAUCAGGAACCAGAGCUGGCCACGGCUCACCAUCGCAGAGAGCAAAAUCCCCAGAGCAGGCAACGGUGUCUUUGCCACCAAGGACUUUGCCAGAGGCACCGUCGUCUGCGACUACCAUGGCUCGGUAGUCAGCGCCGAAGAGGGCAUGCACGUGCUGGAGGCCCUGCAACCUUCAGGAUGGGCUUGACACAUUCAGACAUUGUGAAACAGCCGGCUGCUCUACUUUUUGAGUGAGACUUUUUCAAAGUGUGCACCUUCCCCGGGCGUUGGCGGGCGCUAGAGUGAGCCCACAAAGCUGACAUUGCUCUGAAAAAUACUUUACUAUGUGCUUCACUAGCUCACCCAGUUUCAAAAGCCUAGCUGGCUUGCUUUUCAAGUUGUGCACGUUUAAACUUUGCCAUGACUUCAAGGUGUCACAUUUGCCCAGACAGUGCAAAGCAUAUGUUGGCCAGCAGGCGGAGCUGUUCUGGCCAACUCAGUCUGUGCCACUCAGUCUGUGCUGGAGGAAAACAUUUAGAUAUUUUUAUUUUGUUAUUUAGUUAGUUAUUUAUUUUCGGUGGGAGAAUAUAUAUUGCAUCCACUGAGCUAUAUAAUACACUGGAGUGCUGAUUUUGCUGAAAAACUGAAGUCACUGGCCGCCAUCUUGCUACUUCCUACUCGCACAG